rnacentral:rRNA from 1 species
UGCCAGACUCCUACGGGAGGCAGCAGUGAGGAAUAUUGGUCAAUGGGCGCGAGCCUGAACCAGCCAAGUCGCGUGAGGGAGGACGGCCCUACGGGUUGUAAACCUCUUUUGCCGGGGAGCAACGGGCGUCACGUGUGGCGCCACUGAGAGUACCCGGAGAAAAAGCAUCGGCUAACUCCGUGCCAGCAGCCGCGGUAAUACGGAGGAUGCGAGCGUUAUCCGGAUUUAUUGGGUUUAAAGGGGGCGCAGGCGGAAGAUCAAGUCAGCGGUAAAAUUGAGAGGCUCAACCUCUUCGAGCCGUUGAAACUGGUUUUCUUGAGUGAGCGAGAAGUAUGCGGAAUGCGUGGUGUAGCGGUGAAAUGCAUAGAUAUCACGCAGAACUCCGAUUGCGAAGGCAGCAUACCGGCGCUCAACUGACGCUCAUGCACGAAAGUGUGGGUAUCGAACAGGAUUAGAUACCCCGGUAGAG